rnacentral:rRNA from 1 species
GACGAACGCUGGCGGCGUGCUUAACACAUGCAAGUCGAACGGAAAGGCCUGCUUUCCCUUGUGGAUUGCGGGUACUCGAGUGGCGAACGGGUGAGUAACACGUGAGUGAUCUGCCCCCAACUUGGGUAUAAGCCUGGGAAACUGGGUCUAAUUCCCGAUAGGACUGCAGGGUGGUGCCUGUGGUGGAAAACGAUUUUCUAGUGGUUGGGGAUGAGCUCGCGGCCUAUCAGCUUGUUGGUGGGGUAAUGGCCUACCAAGGCGGCGACGGGUAGCCGGCCUGGGGGGGUGGACGGCAACAUUGGGACUGAGAUACGGCCCAGACUCCUACGGGAGGCAGCAGUGGGGAAUCUGGCACAAUGGGCGGAAGCCUGAUGCAGCGACGCCGCGGGGGGGAUGACGGCCUUCGGGUUGUAAACUCCUUUCGACCGCGAGGAAGCCACCUGGUUGGAAGGGUGGUGACGGUAGUGGUAGAAGAAGCACCGGCUAACUACGUG